GACGAACGCUGGCGGCGUGCUUAACACAUGCAAGUCGAACGGUGAAGCGCCUUCCUUUUUGGUGGGUGUGGAUGAGUGGCGAACGGGUGAGUAACACGUGAGUAACCUGCCCCCUUCUUCUGGAUAACCGCAUGAAAGUGUGGCUAAUACGGGAUAUUCUGGGUCUGUCGCAUGAUGGGUCUGGGAAAGAUAUUGUUUCGGUGGGGGAUGGGCUCGCGGCCUAUCAGCUUGUUGGUGGGGUGAUGGCCUACCAAGGCGGUGACGGGUAGCCGGCCUGAGAGGGUGGACGGUCACACUGGGACUGAGACACGGCCCAGACUCCUACGGGGGGCAGCAGUGGGGAAUAUUGAGCAGUGGGCGCAAGCCUGAUGCAGCGACGCCGCGUGAGGGAUGGAGGCCUUCGGGUUGUGAACCUCUUUCGCCAGUGAAGCAGGCCUGCCUCGUUUGUGGGUGGGUUGACGGUAGCUGGAUAAGAAGCGCCGGCUAACUACGUG
rnacentral:rRNA from 1 species